rnacentral:piRNA from 1 species
UCCAUGUGAGAAUUACCUAUU